rnacentral:lncRNA from 1 species
GUCAGUUGCGCAGAAGGAGGUGCGUUCUGCGCCUGCGUUCUCCGCUCCGGACAGAGGUCGUGAAGCGCAUGUGUGAGGGGCGUGGAGAAAACGGGUUCGGGUUUAACUGUAGCGUUUAUUGGAUGCUCCAGUGCACGCGAAUUUGCGGGCGAGUGCCGGGGGCGCGAGCUCGCGCGCUCACUGGCAGGCGCGUGGGCGUUGUCCCCGGAGGCCGCGACUUGCUGCGGUCGCCAUCUUGUCCUGAGGCGUUGUUUCGGGGACCUUUGUUCUCCAUCGCUGUUUGUUCGCCGCUUGAAAUGUGCACACCUGAAUGUGCGCGGUCUCACACAAAUUUGGGCAGCGCAUUGCUUCGGUCGGGUUAGGUUCCUAAGCUCUAGGGCAGCAUCGGAUUCACGAAGCUUCGAGUCACUUUUAAGGCUGCCUUGGGAACGAUGAGGGGAGAACUACAUGAGCUCUUAUUGCCCGGUUUGCAAGGCCAGGGGCGCCUCUUUUUCAAACCUUGCGCUUGCCAGAUGUUGAUUAUAAUGUGACGAUUUUUUUUUUUUUCAAAGACAAGGUUUCCGACGGGGUAUGAAUGGCGGGCGCCGGCUGUCACAGAACUAGAUUUAUAGACCAGGCUGGCCUUGAUCCCACCAGUGUACUUCUAGAACGCUGGAAUUAAAGGCCUGCGCCACCCCACCCAACCCCAGGGUUUUACUAGCCUUAGUUGUCCUCACACUCAAGGCUCUACUGCCGGACCCUUUCAAAUGUCUGAAUUACAGAUGGGAGGUACUGAGAGACUUUUAGGGACAAAACCUUGGAACAAAUGUUGUGUCAGGAUUUUCUCGACGGUUGUAAAAACAGGGAUUCAAAGACAGUGAAGUAGAACUUGGUUUUGGAGGUAGCAGUUUGAUAGCAAGAGAAAAUAGUUGGGUAGGAAGUGCUCAUACAGGCUUGUAAUUCCACCGGUCAUCUUUGACCCCAUCAUUCGUUCCAGGCCAACAAGAGCUACAUGAAACUAUCUCAAAAAGAAGUAAUGGUGGUCAUCACUGUAACAAGUUAUGAAGAACGUGUGGGGAAAUUAGGAGAUAAAAUACAGUUAUAUUAUAAAAGAAAGUAGAAGGGAAUGGAAGGUAGCUGGGAAUGGUGCUGUCAGCCUCCAGCACUUGGGUGAGGUUGAACCAGAAAUGCAAGGUCACCUUUGGUGAUAAAAUGAAUUGGGAACCAGCUCGAUGACACUAAGAGUCUGUGAACCUCUUUUUUAACAAGUUAAUAAAAUUAAGUUAAACAGGACAGACAUUGCAUUUCAAUUAGUGAUAGAUAAUGCAUUAAAAGAAAAAGGGGCCUGGUGAUAAAUGCUUGUGAUCUAUCAAAGAUGUGUGGAGGGUCUGAUUUUAACACAGCUACACAGUAAGCCUCUGUCUCAAAAAGUAAAAGGACUAGAAUCAUAUUUCAGUUGGGAGUGUGCUAGCCUAGAAUGUGCUAGGUCAGAGUUCCAUCCUCAUCAUCCCAUCAAUCAGGUUUAGUGGCACACUUCAUCCCAGCUCUCAGGAUACUGAGGCAGGAGGAGCAUUAUUAGUUCUAGACCAGCCUGGGCUAUAUUACCAGUACCAGACUACAUUGGAGACAGUCUCAAAAGGAAUCUCUCACCUCUCUUCAUUAAAUUACACUUGCCAUUACAUUCUAGUAUUACUAGUAGAUCUAGAAUUUUAAGAAAUUACAUCACCAAGGCCAAA